UACGUAGGGGGCAAGCGUUAUCCGGAUUUACUGGGUGUAAAGGGAGCGUAGGCGGUAUGGUAAGUCAGAUGUGAAAACCCAGGGCUCAACCCUGGGACUGCAUUUGAAACUAUCAAACUAGAUUGCAGGAGAGGUAAGUGGAAUUCCUAGUGUAGCGGUGAAAUGCGUAGAUAUUAGGAGGAACACCAGUGGCGAAGGCGGCUUACUGGACUGUAAAUGACGCUGAGGCUCGAAAGCGUGGGGAGCGAACAGG
rnacentral:rRNA from 1 species